rnacentral:rRNA from 1 species
UACGUAGGGGGCAAGCGUUGUUCGGAAUUACUGGGCGUAAGGGGCGCGUAGGCGGCACAGCAAGUCGGGAGUGAAAGCCCGGGGCUCAACCCCGGAAUGGCUUUCGAAACUGCUGAGCUAGAGUACAGAAGGGGCAACCGGAAUUCCCAGUGUAGCGGUGAAAUGCGUAGAUAUUGGGAAGAACACCUGAGGCGAAGGCGGGUUGCUGGGCUGAUACUGACGCUGAGGCGCGAAAGCCAGGGGAGCAAACGGG